rnacentral:rRNA from 1 species
CGGGAGGCAGCAGUGAGGAAUAUUGGUCAAUGGGCGCAAGCCUGACACCAGCCACGUCGCGUGAAGGAAGACGGCCCUACGGGUUGUAAACUUCUUUUGCAAGGGAAUAAAGUUGGCCACGCGUGGCCUUUUGCAUGUACCUUAAGAAUAAGGAUCGGCUAACUCCGUGCCAGCAGCCGCGGUAAUACGGAGGAUCCGAGCGUUAUCCGGAUUUAUUGGGUUUAAAGGGUGCUCAGGCGGGGGAUUAAGUCGGCGGUGAAAUUUUGCNGCUCAACCGUAAAAGUGCCUUUGAAACUGGUUUCCUUGAGUGNGGAUGAGGUAGGCGGAAUUUGUGGUGUAGCGGUGAAAUGCAUAGAUAUCACGAGGAACUCCGAUUGCGCAGGCAGCUUACUAAGCCAUAACUGACGCUCAAGCACGAAGGCGUGGCUGAUCAAACAGGAUUAGAUACCCUGGUAGUCCACGCAGUAAACGAUGAUUACUGGCUGUUGUGCGAUAUAAUGUAAGCGGGGAGCGAAA